UGCAAACUGCGAAUACCGGAGAAUGUUAUCACGGGAGACACACGGCGGGUGCUAACGUCCGUCGUGAAGAGGGAAACAACCCAGACCGCCAGCUAAGGUCCCAAAGUCAUGGUUAAGUGGGAAACGAUGUGGGAAGGCCCAGACAGCCAGGAUGUUGGCUUAGAAGCAGCCAUCAUUUAAAGAAAGCGUAAUAGCUCACUGGUCGAGUCGGCCUGCGCGGAAGAUGUAACGGGGCUAAACCAUGCACCGAAGCUGCGGCAGCGACGCUGAUGCGUUGUUGGGUAGGGGAGCGUUCUGUAAGCCUGCGAAGGUGUGCUGUGAGGCAUGCUGGAGGUAUCAGAAGUGCGAAUGCUGACAUAAGUAACGAUAAAGCGGGUGAAAAGCCCGCUCGCCGGAAGACCAAGGGUUCCUGUCCAACGUUAAUCGGGGCAGGGUGAGUCGACCCCUAAGGCGAGGCCGAAAGGCGUAGUCGAUGGGAAACAGGUUAAUAUUCCUGUACUUGGUGUUACUGCGAAGGGGGGACGGAGAAGGCUAUGUUGGCCGGGCGACGGUUGUCCCGGUUUAAGCGUGUAGGCUGGUUUUCCAGGCAAAUCCGGAAAAUCAAGGCUGAGGCGUGAUGACGAGGCACUACGGUGCUGAAGCAACAAAUGCCCUGCUUCCAGGAAAAGCCUCUAAGCAUCAGGUAACAUCAAAUCGUACCCCAAACCGACACAGGUGGUCAGGUAGAGAAUACCAAGGCGCUUGAGAGAACUCGGGUGAAGGAACUAGGCAAAAUGGUGCCGUAACUUCGGGAGAAGGCACGCUGAUAUGUAGGUGAAGUCCCUCGCGGAUGGAGCUGAAAUCAGUCGAAGAUACCAGCUGGCUGCAACUGUUUAUUAAAAACACAGCACUGUGCAAACACGAAAGUGGACGUAUACGGUGUGACGCCUGCCCGGUGCCGGAAGGUUAAUUGAUGGGGUUAGCGCAAGCGAAGCUCUUGAUCGAAGCCCCGGUAAACGGCGGCCGUAACUAUAACGGUCCUAAGGUAGCGAAAUUCCUUGUCGGGUAAGUUCCGACCUGCACGAAUGGCGUAAUGAUGGCCAGGCUGUCUCCACCCGAGACUCAGUGAAAUUGAACUCGCUGUGAAGAUGCAGUGUACCCGCGGCAAGACGGAAAGACCCCGUGAACCUUUACUAUAGCUUGACACUGAACAUUGAGCCUUGAUGUGUAGGAUAGGUGGGAGGCUUUGAAGUGUGGACGCCAGUCUGCAUGGAGCCGACCUUGAAAUACCACCCUUUAAUGUUUGAUGUUCUAACGUGGACCCGUAAUCCGGGUUGCGGACAGUGUCUGGUGGGUAGUUUGACUGGGGCGGUCUCCUCCUAAAGAGUAACGGAGGAGCACGAAGGUUGGCUAAUCCUGGUCGGACAUCAGGAGGUUAGUGCAAUGGCAUAAGCCAGCUUGACUGCGAGCGUGACGGCGCGAGCAGGUGCGAAAGCAGGUCAUAGUGAUCCGGUGGUUCUGAAUGGAAGGGCCAUCGCUCAACGGAUAAAAGGUACUCCGGGGAUAACAGGCUGAUACCGCCCAAGAGUUCAUAUCGACGGCGGUGUUUGGCACCUCGAUGUCGGCUCAUCACAUCCUGGGGCUGAAGUAGGUCCCAAGGGUAUGGCUGUUCGCCAUUUAAAGUGGUACGCGAGCUGGGUUUAGAACGUCGUGAGACAGUUCGGUCCCUAUCUGCCGUGGGCGCUGGAGAACUGAGGGGGGCUGCUCCUAGUACGAGAGGACCGGAGUGGACGCAUCACUGGUGUUCGGGUUGUCAUGCCAAUGGCACUGCCCGGUAGCUAAAUGCGGAAGAGAUAAGUGCUGAAAGCAUCUAAGCACGAAACUUGCC
rnacentral:rRNA from 1 species